CAACGAAAUCUCUUUUGUUUUCUUCUCCAUUAAGGUCUUAACUUCGUUGCUUUCGACAUCCAAUCUGAAAAGCCACAAGAUCAAAAGUGUUUAGAUAAAGCCCCUUUUUCUUACCUGUUGCUUGAUCUUUCACAUAACCCAACAUGCCUUCUCGCUGCGAAAUUUGCUGUGAGCUCCUGAUCGCGGUUUUGCUCCCUCCCCUGGGGGUUUGCUUAAGGCAUGGUUGUUGCAGCGUGGAGUUCUGCAUUUGUCUGCUGUUGACGAUUCUGGGAUACGUACCUGGGAUAAUCUAUGCUCUCUACGCCAUUGUUUUUGUGGAUCGGGAUGAGUACUUUGAUGAGUACAGGCGUCCACUCUAUUAUUCCAGUGCCUAGCCUGGCCUUUCUUUAAUGAUCUCUCUAUGCUUUAGUCACUAUUUGAUGCAAAAAUCCUGUUCAACAGUUACUCAACAGUAGAUUGUAAUUGAUAUCAAAUGGUGAUGGGAACUACUAGACAAAAUCUUUGCUUCUUUGCUGGUAUACUAUCUUGAUACUUGUAAAUUUAUACAAUAUGCGGGAGGAUAACAGAUGUUUGUAGAAUGUUCUGAUACUUAAUGUGGGUUUAAAGCCUCUAGUGAGGUGCUACUCAGCUAUUUCAUGUUCCUUAAGCUGAAGCCUUUUUGAACCCCAUGUAGCCAACAAAGGUCUAAGUAAGGUGGGGUCAGCCUUGAGCAAUCCAAAGAGGCCAUGGAUGUAGGGAAGGAAAGUAGUUUAUCCACUAUAUUGGUGAGAACAUGUCAAGUGAGAAACUUUAAUCAAAUGGCUGAUGAUUUCUAUGGGCAACGAUGGAUAAUGAUAGGGUAGAUUUUCCUUUUAGAAAUCCUAUCUUCUCCAAGAGGACCAGAACCCCCCUUUGGGCAAAUUGCAAUAUGAUUGCAUAGCUUUCUUGUAUUCAAACCGAUCUCUAUGCUUGAUUGACAAAUCAAUGAAGUUGAAACUUCAAUUCAAAAUUU